rnacentral:pre_miRNA from 1 species
CUUUUACUCCCUCCGUUCGAAAAUACUUGUCAUUGAAAUGGAUGUAUCUAGAUGUAUUUUAGUUCUAGACACAUCCAUUUUGAUGACAAGUAAUUCCGGACGGAGGGAGUACUUG